AUUGAACGCUGGCGGCAGGCCUAACACAUGCAAGUCGAGCGGGGUUUUCGGACCUAGCGGCGGACGGGUGAGUAAUGCGUAGGAAGCUGCCCGAUAGAGGGGGAUACCAGUUGGAAACGACUGUUAAUACCGCAUAAUGUCUACGGACCAAAGUGUGGGACCUUCGGGCCACAUGCUAUCGGAUGCGCCUACGUGGGAUUAGCUAGUUGGUGAGGUAAUGGCUCACCAAGGCGACGAUCUCUAGCUGGUUUGAGGGGAUGAUCAGCCACACUAGAAAUUAGGAACGGUCCAGACUCCUACGGGAGGCAGCAGUGGGGAAUAUUGGACAAUGGGCGCAAGCCUGAUCCAGCCAUGCCGCGUGUGUGAAGAAGGCCUUCGGGUUGUAAAGCACUUUCAGCGAGGAGGAAGGGGUUGUAGUUAAUAGCUGCAACCUUUGACGUUACUCGCAGAAGAAGCACCGGCUAACUCUGUGCCAGCCGCCGCGGUAAAAC
rnacentral:rRNA from 1 species